rnacentral:rRNA from 1 species
AGAGUUUGAUCAUGGCUCAGAUUGAACGCUGGCGGCAGGCCUAACACAUGCAAGUCGAGCGGAAACGAGUUAACAGACCCUUCGGGUAACGUUAACGGCGUCGAGCGGCGGACGGGUGAGUAAUGCCUAGGAAAUUGCCCUGAUGUGGGGGAUAACCAUUGGAAACCGCAUGAUGCCUACGGGCCAAAGAGGGGGACCUUCGGGCCUCUCGCGUCAGGAUAUGCCUAGGUGGGAUUAGCUAGUUGGUGAGGUAAGGGCUCACCAAGGCGACGAUCCCUAGCUGGUCUGAGAGGAUGAUCAGCCACACUGGAACUGAGACACGGUCCAGACUCCUACGGGAGGCAGCAGUGGGGAAUAUUGCACAAUGGGCGCAAGCCUGAUGCAGCCAUGCCGCGUGUGUGAAGAAGGCCUUCGGGUUGUAAAGCACUUUCAGUCGUGAGGAAGGCGGGUACGUUAAUAGCGUCUUYGUUUGACGUUAGCGACAGAAGAAGCACCGGCUAACCAGCAGCCGCGGUAAUACGGAGGGUGCGAGCGUUAAUCGGAAUUACUGGGCGUAAAGCGCAUGCAGGUGGUUUGUUAAGUCAGUCAACCUCGGAAUAGCAUUUGAAACUGGCAGACUAGAGUACUGUAGAGGGGGGUAGAAUUUCAGGUGUAGCGGUGAAAUGCGUAGAGAUCUGAAGGAAUACCGGUGGCGAAGGCGGCCCCCUGGACAGAUACUGACACUCAGAUGCGAAAGCGUGGGGAGCAAACAGGAUUAGAUACCCUGGUAUCUACUUGGAGGUUGUGGCCUUGAGCCGUGGCUUUCGGAGCUAACGCGUUAAGUAGACCAGGCCUGGGGAGUACGGUCGCAAGAUUAAAACUCAAAUGAAUUGACGGGGGCCCGCACAAGCGGUGGAGCAUGUGGUUUAAUUCGAUGCAACGCGAAGAACCUUACCUACUCUUGACAUCCAGAGAACUUUCCAGAGAUGGAUUGGUGCCUUCGGGAACUCUGAGACAGGUGCUGCAUGGCUGUCGUCAGCUCGUGUUGUGAAAUGUUGGGUUAUAGUCCCGCAACGAGCGCAACCCUUAUCCUUGUUUGCCUCGGGAACUCCAGGGAGACUGCCGGUGAUAAACCUGGAGGAAGGUGGGGACGACGUCAAGUCAUCAUGGCCCUUACGAGUAGGGCUACACACGUGCCUACAAUGGCGCAUACAGAGGGCAGCCAACUUGCGAAAGUGAGCGAAUCCCAAAAAGUCCGGAUUGGAGUCUUGCAACUCGACUCCAUGAAGUCGGAAUCGCUAGUAAUCGUGGAUCAGAAUGCCACGGUGAAAUACGUUCCCGGGCCUUGUACACACCGCCCGUAGUGGGCUGCAAAAGAAGUAGGUAGUUUAACCUUCGGGGGGACGCUUACCACUUUGUGGUUCAUGACUGGGGUGAAGUC